rnacentral:rRNA from 1 species
UACAGAGGGUGCAAGCGUUGCUCGGAAUCAUUGGGCGUAAAGGGUAGGUAGGUGGUCUCAUUUGUCUGGGGUGAAAGCCUUGGGCUUAACCCAAGAAGUGCCCCAGAAACGGUGAGACUCGAGUACUGGAGAGGGUCGUGGAAUUCCCGGUGUAGCGGUGAAAUGCGUAGAGAUCGGGAGGAACACAAGAGGCGAAGGCGGCGACCUGGACAGUAACUGACACUCAACUACGAAAGCGUGGGGAGCAAACAGG